rnacentral:rRNA from 1 species
CCUACGGGAGGCAGCAGUGAGGAAUAUUGGUCAAUGGACGAGAGUCUGAACCAGCCAAGUAGCGUGAAGGAUGACUGCCCUAUGGGUUGUAAACUUCUUUUAUAAAGGAAUAAAACGAGGCACGUGUGCCUUUUUGCAUGUACCUUAUGAAUAAGGAUCGGCUAACUCCGUGCCAGCAGCCGCGGUAAUACGGAGGAUCCGAGCGUUAUCCGGAUUUAUUGGGUUUAAAGGGCGCGUAGAUGGGUUGUUAAGUCAGUGGUGAAAGUCUGCGGCUCAACCGUAAAAUUGCAAUUGAUACUGGCAGUCUUGAGUACAGUUGAGGUAGGCGGAAUUCGUGGUGUAGCGGUGAAAUGCUUAGAUAUCACGAAGAACCCCGAUUGCGAAGGCAGCUUACCAAACUGUGACUGACAUUGAUGCACGAAAGUGUGGGUAUCAAACAGGAUUAGAUACCCCUGUAGUC